rnacentral:rRNA from 1 species
GACGAACGCUGGCGGCGUGCUUAACACAUGCAAGUCGAACGAUGAAGCUAGAGCUUGCUCUGGUGGAUUAGUGGCGAACGGGUGAGUAACACGUGAGUAACCUGCCCCGAACUCUGGGAUAACUGCUGGAAACGGUAGCUAAUACUGGAUACGACCAACGAAGGCAUCUUCUGUUGGUGGAAAGAAUUUCGGUUCGGGAUGGACUCGCGGCCUAUCAGCUUGUUGGUGAGGUAACGGCUCACCAAGGCGACGACGGGUAGCCGGCCUGAGAGGGUGAUCGGCCACACUGGGACUGAGACACGGCCCAGACUCCUACGGGAGGCAGCAGUGGGGAAUAUUGUACAAUGGGCGCAAGCCUGAUGCAGCAACGCCGCGUGAGGGACGACGGCCUUCGGGUUGUAAACCUCUUUUAGUAGGGAAGAAGCGAAAGUGGCGGUACCUGCAGAAAAAGCACCGGCUAACUACGUGCCAGCCGCCGCCGUAA